rnacentral:rRNA from 1 species
UACAGAGGUCCCGAGCGUUGUUCGGAUUCACUGGGCGUAAAGGGUGCGUAGGUGGCAUGGCCAGUUUGAUGUGAAAGCUCAGGGCUUAACCCUGAAAUGGCAUUGAAUACUGCUGUGCUGGAGGUUUGGAGGGGGGGACUGGAAUUCUUGGUGUAGCAGUGAAAUGCGUAGAUAUCAAGAGGAACACCAGUGGCGAAGGCGAGUCCCUGGACAACACCUGACACUGAGGCACGAAAGCCGGGGGAGCAAACAGG